rnacentral:snRNA from 16 species
UUUCCUCGAGAAGUUUGGCGUACGGGGUGGGGAUGGGACCGUCGCUGAGUCCUCCCAGGAGUAUGCACUUGUUGCUACACUGUUUCGGCGAUAACAUUUCCGAUGAUGGCGGCGUCGAGGAUGAUGGGGGCGGCGGGGACGAUUCGAACGCGACGAGCGACGGGCUGGCGCUGUACUGAAAGAGCUGGCCGGCGAAGACGCCGUAGGGCGAGAGCGGAGGCGACUUCAUGUCG